GAUGAACGCUGGCGGCGUGCUUAACACAUGCAAGUCGAACGUGAGAGGUAGCAAUAUCUUGAAAGUGGCGAACGGGUGAGUAUCACGUAGGUAACCUGCCUCGGAGUGGGGGAUAACAGUUAGAAAUGACUGCUAAUACCGCAUGAAUCCAUCAUUUGGGGACAAACGGUGGAGAAAACUCUGGUGCUUCGAGAGGGGCCUGCGGCCGAUUAGCUAGUUGGUGGGGUAAAGGCCUACCAAGGCGACGAUCGGUAGCUGGUCUGAGAGGACGAUCAGCCACACGGGAACUGAGACACGGUCCCGACUCCUACGGGGGGCAGCAGUGAGGAAUAUUGGGCAAUGGGCGGAAGCCUGACCCAGCAACGCCGCGUGGAGGAUUG
rnacentral:rRNA from 1 species